UACGGAGGGUGCAAACGUUGCUCGGAAUUAUUGGGCGUAAAGCGCACGUAGGCGGUCUGUUAAGUCGGAUGUGAAAGCCCUCGGCUCAACCGAGGAAGUGCAUUCGAUACUGGCAGGCUUGAAUUCGGGAGAGGGAUGCAGAAUUCCAGGUGUAGCGGUGAAAUGCGUAGAUAUUCGCAAGAACACCAGUGGCGAAGGCGGCUCACUGGCCCGAUACUGACGCUGAGGUGCGAAAGCGUGGGGAGCAAAUAGG
rnacentral:rRNA from 1 species